CCUACGGGAGACUGCAGUGAGGAAUAUUGGUCAAUGGGCGAGAGUCUGAACCAGCCAAGUAGCGUGAAGGAUGACUGCCCUAUGGGUUGUAAACUUCUUUUAUAAAGGAAUAAAGCGAGGCACGUGUGCCUUUUUGCAUGUACUUUAUGAAUAAGGAUCGGCUAACUCCGUGCCAGCAGCCGCGGUAAUACGGAGGAUCCGAGCGUUAUCCGGAUUUAUUGGGUUUAAAGGGAGCGUAGAUGGGUUGUUAAGUCAGUUGUGAAAGUUUGCGGCUCAACCGUAAAAUUGCAAUUGAUACUGGCAGCCUUGAGUACAGUUGAGGUAGGCGGAAUUCGUGGUGUAGCGGUGAAAUGCUUAGAUAUCACGAAGAACUCCGAUUGCGAAGGCAGCUUACUAAACUGUCACUGACAUUGAUGCUCGAAAGUGUGGGUAUCAAACAGGAUUAGAUACCCGUGUAGUC
rnacentral:rRNA from 1 species